AAAAUUAGAGUGUUCAAAGCAGGCAGAUCCAAUUUUCUGCCACCGAAUACAUUAGCAUGGGAUAAUGGAAUAGGACCCUGUCCUCCUAUUUUCAGUUGGUUUUGGCAGCGCGAGGACUAGGGUAAUGAUUAAUAGGGAUAGUUGGGGGCAUUAAUAUUUAAUUGUCAGAGGUGAAAUUCUUGGAUUUAUGAAAGAUUAACUUCUGCGAAAGCAUCUGCCAAGGAUGUUUUCAUUAAUCAAGAACGAAAGUUAGGGGAUCGAAGACGAUCAGAUACCGUCGUAGUCUUAACCAUAAACGAUGCCGACCAGCGAUUAGGAGACGUUGAAUACAAAACACCACCAUCGGCGCGGUCGUCCCUGGCUCGUCGUCUCACGACGGCGGGCGGGGGCGGUUUAGCCCGAUGGCACCGGUGAA
rnacentral:rRNA from 1 species